rnacentral:rRNA from 2 species
AGGGAGACGCGGGUUUGCCUAUACAUGCAGUCGAGCGCAUUGGCCCAACUGAUAUGACGUGCUUGCACUGAAUUGACGUUGGAUUACCAGUGAGCGGCGGACGGGUGAGUAACACGUGGGCAACCUGCCCUGAAGCGGGGGAUAACAUCUGGAAACAGGUGCUAAUACCGCAUAACAACGAAAACCACAUGGUUUUCGUUUCAAAGAUGGUUUCGGCUAUCACUUCAGGAUGGGCCCGCGGUGCAUUAGCUAGUUGGUAGGGUAACGGCUUACCAAGGCAAUGAUGCAUAGCCGAGUUGAGAGACUGAUCGGCCACAAUGGAACUGAGACACGGUCCAUACUCCUACGGGAGGCAGCAGUAGGGAAUCUUCCACAAUGGGCGCAAGCCUGAUGGAGCAACACCGCGUGAGUGAAGAAGGGUUUCGGCUCGUAAAGCUCUGUUGUUGGAGAAGAACGUGCGUGAGAGUAACUGUUCACGCAGUGACGGUAUCCAACCAGAAAGUCACGGCUAACUACGUGCCAGCAGCCGCGGUAAUACGUAGGUGGCAAGCGUUAUCCGGAUUUAUUGGGCGUAAAGCGAGCGCAGGCGGUUGCUUAGGUCUGAUGUGAAAGCCUUCGGCUUAACCGAAGAAGGGCAUCGGAAACCGGGCGACUUGAGUGCAGAAGAGGACAGUGGAACUCCAUGUGUAGCGGUGGAAUGCGUAGAUAUAUGGAAGAACACCAGUGGCGAAGGCGGCUGUCUGGUCUGCAACUGACGCUGAGGCUCGAAAGCAUGGGUAGCGAACAGGAUUAGAUACCCUGGUAGUCCAUGCCGUAAACGAUGAGUGCUAGGUGUUGGAGGGUUUCCGCCCUUCAGUGCCGGAGCUAACGCAUUAAGCACUCCGCCUGGGGAGUACGACCGCAGGUUGAAACUCAAAGGAUUGACGGGGGCCCGCACAAGCGGUGGAGCAUGUGGUUUAAUUCGAGCUACGCGAAGAACCUUACCAGG